UGUAUCGGACGGAACGAACCCGGGCCGCCCGCGUGGCAAGCGAGCAUUCUACCACUGUACCACCGAUGC